CCUAAUAUCAUCAUCCUCUUCCUCCUUACCAAACCCUAAACCCGUUACACUGCAGUCAUCUCCUCCGUUCAGCCAUUGAGCGUCCGCCAGUCGUCUUCUCAAUCCAGCCAUGUCCGUCGAACUCCCUCCUGCGAACGACGAUGAACGACCGGCGAGCAGCGACCUGCUGCGUUGCUUCUUCUCCAGCAGCAACGGUUAUGGCAGUCGACGACCUAUGACGUUGUUUCUUCUCCAGUAGUGACUGCUAUGGCAGUCGACUGUUCUGCGUUGCCUCUUCUCCAGCACAUCAUCUUCUCCAGUACGUUGUCAAGAACAGCCAUGUAUGACAAGCUAUAACCAACGUUUUCUUAUCCAGCGCUGCUUCUUCCUCGACAACCAUGGACGACGAGCUCGUCACACACAUGGACGACGAACGACCAUGAACGAUGAUGUUCCUCAGUCCCCAUUCCAGUUCGAAGCAGCAGCUAAACGACCAACUUGAUUUUGUCCGUUACAUCCUCACACUCAGUCCGCUCGAGCUUUGUCCAAAAAUGAACAUGUUUCUGUUGCUGUUUGCGAUUGGUUGGUUGCUCCUGAUUAGCUGUUGUUAUUGUCGCUGACCAUCCUCUAGUUCUUCUUGUUGUAUUUCGACAUCCAGGUACACAAAUCGAUACACUGGUUCUUGUAAGCUGAAAGUUUCAAGCAUGAAUACGAAAUGAAGAACUAAAGUUUACAUUUUUACCUUUGUAUCUACUGAAAUUUAAGUUGUGUAUAUAACAGUUAACUUCAUUUGUUUUAAAAGCAUGUUGUAAUUCUGCUAUGUAUCACCGAAUAUAGAACAAUAGCAAAUGAUUAAAUUGUUCAGUAUGUUGGUUUAAAGAACCAAACAUGUGGUAGUAGCCAUUCCGUUAGUA